UACAGAGGUCUCAAGCGUUGUUCGGAUUCAUUGGGCGUAAAGGGUGCGUAGGCGGCGGGGCAAGUCUGAUGUGAAAUCCCGGGGCUCAACCCCGGAACUGCAUUGGAUACUGCCUUGCUUGAGGACUGGAGAGGAGACUGGAAUUCACGGUGUAGCAGUGAAAUGCGUAGAGAUCGUGAGGAAGACCAGUGGCGAAGGCGGGUCUCUGGACAGUUCCUGACACUGAGGCACGAAGGCCAGGGGAGCAAACGGG
rnacentral:rRNA from 1 species